rnacentral:rRNA from 1 species
GACGAACGCUGGCGGCGUGCUUAACACAUGCAAGUCGAACGGAAAGGCCCGGCUUUUGUGGGGUGCUCGAGUGGCGAACGGGGGAGUAACACGUGAGUAACGUGCCCUUGACGUUGGGAUAUCUUCAGGAAACUGGGGCUAAUACGGGAUAGGCGCUCUUGCUGCAUGGUGGGGGUUGGAUGGUUUCGGCGGUUGGUGAUGGACUCGCGGCUUAUCAGCUUGCUGGUGGGGUAGUGGCUUAGCAAGGCUCCGACGGGUAGGCGGCCUGAGAGGGUGGCCGGAGACAUGGGGACUGCGAUACGGCCCAGACGCCUACGGGAGGCAGGCGUGGGGAAUGGUGGACAAUGGGCGGAAGGCUGAUGGAGCAACGCCGGGUGCGGGAUGACGGCCUUCGGGUUGUAACCCGCUUGCGCCUGUGACGGAGCGUGAGUGACGGUAAUGGGUGAAGAAGCACCGGCUAACUACGUG